AUUGAACGCUGGCGGCAGGCUUAACACAUGCAAGUCGAGCGGAGAGAGGUAGCUUGCUACUGAUCUUAGCGGCGGACGGGUGAGUAAUGCUUAGGAAUCUGCCUAUUAGUGGGGGACAACAUUUCGAAAGGAAUGCUAAUACCGCAUACGUCCUACGGGAGAAAGCAGGGGAUCUUCGGACCUUGCGCUAAUAGAUGAGCCUAAGUCGGAUUAGCUAGUUGGUGGGGUAAAGGCCUACCAAGGCGACGAUCUGUAGCGGGUCUGAGAGGAUGAUCCGCCACACUGGGACUGAGACACGGCCCAGACGCCUACGGGAGGCAGCAGUGGGGAAUAUUGGACAAUGGGCGCAAGCCUGAUCCAGCCAUGCCGCGUGUGUGAAGAAGGCCUUAUGGUUGUAAAGCACUUUAAGCGAGGAGGAGGCUACUUUAGUUAAUACCUAGAGAUAGUGGACGUUACUCGCAGAAUAAGCACCGGCUAACUCUGUGCCAGCCGCCGCGGUAAUAC
rnacentral:rRNA from 1 species